AUUGCACUUGUCCCGGCCUGCU
rnacentral:miRNA from 1 species